rnacentral:tRNA from 1 species
GCAGGCGUAGCGCAGUAGGUAGCGCGCAAAGUUGCCAACCUUGAGGUCGUGGGUUCGAACCCCACCGUCUGCUCCA